rnacentral:rRNA from 1 species
GUAGCGAAGUAGCUGAUUUCACACUGUCAAGAAAAGUCUCUAUCGAGGUUAAAGGUACCCGUACCGCAAACCGACACAGGUGGGUGAGGAGAGUAUCCUAAGGCCAGCGAGAGAACUGUUGUUAAGGAACUCGGCAAAAUGACCCCGUAACUUAGGGAUAAGGGGUGCCACCAUCAGGUGGCCGCAGAGAAUAGGCCCAAGCGACUGUUUACCAAAAACAUAGGUUUCUGCUAAGUCGCAAGACGAUGUAUAGGAGCUGACGCCUGCCCGGUGCUGGAAGGUUAAGGGGAUCUGUUAGAGCAAUCGAAGCAGUGAACUUAAGCCCCAGUAAACGGCGGCCGUAACUAUAACGGUCCUAAGGUAGCGAAAUUCCUUGUCGGGUAAGUUCCGACCCGCACGAAAGGCGUAACGAUUUGGGCACUGUCUCAACAACAGACUCGGUGAAAUUGUAAUUCCGGUGAAGAUGCCGGAUACCUGCGACAGGACGGAAAGACCCCAUGGAGCUUUACUGUAGCUUGACAUUGGGUCUUGGUACUACAUGUACAGGAUAGGUGGGAGGCUUUGAAACCAGGACGCCAGUUUUGGCGGAGCCAUCCUUGGGAUACCACCCUUGUAGUACUGGGACUCUAACCAUAGACCAUGAAUCUGGUCUUGGGACACUGUCAGGUGGGCAGUUUGACUGGGGCGGUCGCCUCCCAAAAGGUAACGGAGGCGCUCAAAGGUUCUCUCAGUACGGUCGGAAAUCGUACGUAGAGUGUAAAGGCAAAAGAGAGCUUGAUUGCAAGACAUACAGGUCGAGCAAGGAUGAAAAUCGGACUUAGUGAUCCGGUGGUUCUGCGUGGAAGGGCCAUCGCUCAACGGAUAAAAGCUACCCUGGGGAUAACAGGCUUAUCUCCCCCAAGAGUCCACAUCGACGGGGAGGUUUGGCACCUCGAUGUCGGCUCAUCACAUCCUGGGGCUGUAGUAGGUCCCAAGGGUUGGGCUGUUCGCCCAUUAAAGUGGUACGCGAGCUGGGUUCAGAACGUCGUGAGACAGUUCGGUCCCUAUCCGUCGCAGGCGUAGGAAAUUUGAGAAGACCUGUCCUUAGUACGAGAGGACCGGGAUGGACG